GGGCCAUAGCUCAAUGGGAGGGCAUCUGCCGUAUAUGCAAAAGGUCCCAAGUUCAAUCCCCGGUGGCAUCU